rnacentral:rRNA from 1 species
UUAGGGCCAGCGCGCUUCACACAACACGAAUGUUAUGUGGGCGAACCCAGUCCGAACCAAUGGCCCGGACUGCACCGGGGCGGAAGCUAAUCCGUCCCAGCCGACCGACAGUGAGAGGUUCACAUUGUAUUGGUGUUGGUAUUGAUUGAUUCAAAAGAACCCUUUCCGGGGGGGGGACCUGCGGAAGGAUCAUUGAAUCUAUCAAUACCAACACCAAUACAAUGUGAACCUCUCACUGUCGGUCCGCUGGGACGGAUUAGCUUCCGCCCCGGUGCAGUCCGGGCCAUUGGUUCGGACUGGGUUCGCCCACAUAACAUUCGUGUUGUGUGAAGCGCGCUGGCCCCUAUCAAUCAAAAACAAACCAUAUUAACACCAAACCAAAACCUUUCUUGAAUCUUACUAAAUGCGGUAGGCCCGGCCUCUGCAUCUAACUAAGACAACUCUCAACAACGGAUAUCUUGGCUCUCGCAACGAUGAAGAACGCAGCGAAAUGCGAUACGUAGUGUGAAUUGCAGAAUUCCGUGAACCAUCGAAUCUUUGAACGCAUAUUGCGGUCGAGGCUUCUGCCGAGACCAUGUCUGCCUCAGCGUCGGGUUUAUAUCACUCCCUAUAUACCUUGUAUAUAAGAGGAGUGGACCUGGCCGUUCCAGCUAGGCCCUGCUUUCGAAAGAAGGCAACCAGGCUCUGGAUCGGCUGAAGAUCAGAGUUCUGACCGAGGACCCUUCCAGGGCCGCAACUGGGUGGGCAUUUCCAAUGCUAAGCUUUAGUUGUUGGCCUGGGAUUUCGGUUGUCGACCUCAAACAGGAAACCCACACAACUUAUUAUAUUCUCGACCUGAGCUCAGGCAAGAACACCCGCUGAACUUAAGCAUAUCAAAAGGCCGGAAGGAAAAAAAAGGAUCCAUUGAAUCUAUCAAUACCAACACCAAUACAAUGUGAACCUCAUCAUGUCGGUCCGUUGGGACGGAUUAGCUUCCGCCCGGUGCAGUCCGGGGCAUUGGUUCGGACUGGGUUCGCCACAUAACAUUCGUGUUGUGUGAAGCGCGCUGGCCCUAUCAAUCAAAAACAAACAUAUUAACACCAAACAAAACCUUUCUUGAAUCUUACUAAAAUGCGGUAGGGCCGGCUCUGCAUCUAACUAAGAAAACUCUCACAACGGGAUAUCUUGGGCUCUCCAACGGAUGAAAAAACGCAGCGAAAUGCGAAUACGUAAGUGUUGAAUUUGCAGAAAUUCCGUGAAACAUCGAAAUCUUUUGAACGCAUAAUUGCGGGUCGAAGGCUCCUGCCAAAACAUGGUCUGCCCAACGGCCGGGGUUUAAUAUCCCUCCUAAUAAUACCUUGGUAAAAAUAAAAAAGGAAGUGGGAACCUGGGGCCGGUUCCAACUUAAGGCCGGCUUUUUCAAAAAAAAAA